rnacentral:rRNA from 1 species
AACGAACGCUGGCGGCAUGCCUAACACAUGCAAGUCGAACGAGACCUUCGGGUCUAGUGGCGCACGGGUGCGUAACGCGGGGGAACCUGCCCUUAGGUUCGGAAUAACUCCCCGAAAGGGGUGCGAAUACCGGAUAAUGUCUUCGGACCAAAGAUUGAUCGCCUUUGGGGGGGCCGGCGUUGUAUUAGCUAGUUGGUAGGGUAAAAGCGUCUCAAGGCUACGUUACAUAACUGGUAAGAGAGGAAGGGCAGACACACUGGUGGUGAGACACGGCCGGGAAUAUUAGGGGAGGGAGGAGUGGGUAAUAUUGGAAAGUCGGGGGAAGCAUGAUGCAGCAAGGACGGGUGAGUGAUGAAGGCCGUAGGGUUGUAAAGCUAUUUUAUCCGGGAUGAUAAUGACAGUACCGGGAGAAUAAGCUGCGGCUAACUCCGUG